UACGUAGGGUGCGAGCGUUAUUCGGAAUCACUGGGCUUAAAGGGCGCGUAGGCGGGCCGCCAGGUCCGGGGUGAAAGCCUCCAGCUCAACUGGAGAAGUGCCUUGGAUACCGGCGGCCUCGAGGGAGGUAGGGGCGUGCGGAACUUCGGGUGGAGCGGUGAAAUGCGUAGAUAUCCGAAGGAACACCGGUGGCGAAAGCGGCGCGCUGGAUCUCUUCUGACGCUGAGGCGCGAAAGCCAGGGGAGCAAACGGG
rnacentral:rRNA from 1 species